rnacentral:rRNA from 1 species
AUGAACGCUGGCGGCGUGCCUAAUACAUGCAAGUCGAGCGAACAGACGAGGAGCUUGCUCCUCUGACGUUAGCGGCGGACGGGUGAGUAACACGUGGAUAACCUACCUAUAAGACUGGGAUAACUUCGGGAAACCGGAGCUAAUACCGGAUAAUAUAUUGAACCGCAUGGUUCAAUAGUGAAAGACGGUUUUGCUGUCACUUAUAGAUGGAUCCGCGCCGCAUUAGCUAGUUGGUAAGGUAACGGCUUACCAAGGCAACGAUGCGUAGCCGACCUGAGAGGGUGAUCCGCCACACUGGAACUGAGACACGGUCCAGACUCCUACGGGAGGCAGCAGUAGGGAAUCGUCCGCAAUGGGCGAAAGCUUGACGGAGCAACGCCGCGUGAGUGAUGAAGGUCUUCGGAUCGUAAAACUCUGUUAUUAGGGAAGAACAAAUGUGUAAGUAACUAUGCACGUCUUGACGGUACCUAAUCAGAAAGCCACGGCUAACUACGUG